AGUCCUCUCCUAUCUGACGGU
rnacentral:snRNA from 1 species